rnacentral:rRNA from 1 species
AGCAGUCGCCGCGGUAAUACGGAGGGUCCGAGCGUUAAUCGGAAUUACUGGGCGUAAAGCGUGCGCAGGCGGUUUGUUAAGCGAGAUGUGAAAGCCCUGGGCUCAACCUAGGAAUAGCAUUUCGAACUGGCGAACUAGAGUCUUGUAGAGGGGGGUAGAAUUCCAGGUGUAGCGGUGAAAUGCGUAGAGAUCUGGAGGAAUACCGGUGGCGAAGGCGGCCCCCUGGACAAAGACUGACGCUCAUGCACGAAAGCGUGGGGAGCAAACAGGAUUAGAUACCCCUGUAGUCCCUGUCUCUUAUAC